CAGGCUUAACACAUGCAAGUCGAGGGGCAGCAUGGUUUUAGCUUGCUAAGGCCGAUGGCGACCGGCGCACGGGUGAGUAACACGUAUCCAACCUGCCGUCUACUCUUGGACAGCCUUCUGAAAGGAAGAUUAAUACAAGAUGGCAUCAUGAGUCCGCAUGUUCACAUGAUUAAAGGUAUUCCGGUAGACGAUGGGGAUGCGUUCCAUUAGAUAGUAGGCGGGGUAACGGCCCACCUAGUCUUCGAUGGAUAGGGGUUCUGAGAGGAAGGUCCCCCACAUUGGAACUGAGACACGGUCCAAACUCCUACGGGAGGCAGCAGUGAGGAAUAUUGGUCAAUGGGCGAGAGCCUGAACCAGCCAAGUAGCGUGAAGGAUGACUGCCCUAUGGGUUGUAAACUUCUUUUAUAAAGGAAUAAAGUCGGGUAUGGAUACCCGUUUGCAUGUACUUUAUGAAUAAGGAUCGGCUAACUCCGUGCCAGCAGCCGCGGUAAUACGGAGGAUCCGAGCGUUAUCCGGAUUUAUUGGGUUUAAAGGGAGCGUAGAUGGAUGUUUAAGUCAGUUGUGAAAGUUUGCGGCUCAACCGUAAAAUUGCAGUUGAUACUGGAUAUCUUGAGUGCAGUUGAGGCAGGCGGAAUUCGUGGUGUAGCGGUGAAAUGCUUAGAUAUCACGAAGAACUCCGAUUGCGAAGGCAGCCUGCUAAGCUGCAACUGACAUUGAGGCUCGAAAGUGUGGGUAUCAAACAGGAUUAGAUACCCUGGUAGUCCACACGGUAAACGAUGAAUACUCGCUGUUUGCGAUAUACGGCAAGCGGCCAAGCGAAAGCGUUAAGUAUUCCACCUGGGGAGUACGCCGGCAACGGUGAAACUCAAAGGAAUUGACGGGGGCCCGCACAAGCGGAGGAACAUGUGGUUUAAUUCGAUGAUACGCGAGGAACCUUACCCGGGCUUAAAUUGCAGAUGAAUUACGGUGAAAGCCGUAAGCCGCAAGGCAUCUGUGAAGGUGCUGCAUGGUUGUCGUCAGCUCGUGCCGUGAGGUGUCGGCUUAAGUGCCAUAACGAGCGCAACCCUUGUUGUCAGUUACUAACAGGUUCUGCUGAGGACUCUGACAAGACUGCCAUCGUAAGAUGUGAGGAAGGUGGGGAUGACGUCAAAUCAGCACGGCCCUUACGUCCGGGGCUACACACGUGUUACAAUGGGGGGUACAGAGGGCCGCUACCACGCGAGUGGAUGCCAAUCCCAAAAACCUCUCUCAGUUCGGACUGGAGUCUGCAACCCGACUCCACGAAGCUGGAUUCGCUAGUAAUCGCGCAUCAGCCACGGCGCGGUGAAUACGUUCCCGGGCCUUGUACACACCGCCCGUCAAGCCAUGGGAGCCGGGGGUACCUGAAGUGCGUAACCGCGAGGAGCGCCCUAGGGUAAAACUGGUGACUG
rnacentral:rRNA from 1 species